CGACGGGUGAGUAACACGUAUCCAACCUGCCGUCUACUCUUGGACAGCCUUCUGAAAGGAAGAUUAAUACAAGAUGGCAUCAUGAGUCCACAUGUUCACAUGAUUAAAGGUAUUCCGGUAGACGAUGGGGAUGCGUUCCAUUAGAUAGUAGGCGGGGUAACGGCCCACCUAGUCAACGAUGGAUAGGGGUUCUGAGAGGAAGGUCCCCCACAUUGGAACUGAGACACGGUCCAA
rnacentral:rRNA from 1 species